rnacentral:rRNA from 1 species
UACGUAGGGUGCGAGCGUUGUCCGGAAUUAUUGGGCGUAAAGAGCUUGUAGGCGGUUUGUCGCGUCUGCCGUGAAAACGUCCGGGGCUCAACCCCGGACUUGCGGUGGGUACGGGCAGACUAGAGUGUGGUAGGGGAGACUGGAAUUCCUGGUGUAGCGGUGAAAUGCGCAGAUAUCAGGAGGAACACCGAUGGCGAAGGCAGGUCUCUGGGCCACUACUGACGCUGAGAGCGAAAGCGUGGGGAGCGAACAGG